CGCGGCCUAUCAGCUUGUUGGUGAGGUAACGGCUCACCAAGGCAUCGACGGGUAGCUGGUCUGAGAGGACGAUCAGCCACACUGGGACUGAGACACGGCCCAGACUCCUACGGGAGGCAGCAGUAGGGAAUCUUGCGCAAUGGGCGAAAGCCUGACGCAGCAACGCCGCGUGGGGGAUGACGGCCUUCGGGUUGUAAACCUCUUUUAGCAGGGAAGAAGCGAAAGUGACGGUACCUGCAGAAAAAGCACCGGCUAACUACGUGCCAGCAGCCGCGGUAAUACGUAGGGUGCAAGCGUUGUCCGGAAUUAUUGGGCGUAAAGAGCUCGUAGGCGGUUUGUCGCGUCUGCUGUGAAAAUCCGAGGCUCAACCUCGGACCUGCAGUGGGUACGGGCAAACUAGAGUGCGGUAGGGGAGAUUGGAAUUCCUGGUGUAGCGGUGGAAUGCGCAGAUACCAGGAGGAACACCAAUGGCGAAGGCAGAUCUCUGGGCCGUAACUGACGCUGAGGAGCGAAAGCGUGGGGAGCGAACAGGAUUAGAUACCCUGGUAGUCCACGCCGUAAACGGUGGGAACUAGAUGUGGGGUCCGUUCCACGGAUUCCGUGUCGCAGCUAACGCAUUAAGUUCCCCGCCUGGGGAGUACGG
rnacentral:rRNA from 1 species